rnacentral:lncRNA from 1 species
AGUCCGUGGAAAGUGCGUGUAUCAAGUCACCCGACCCAACUGAUGUCGACUCGCCGAACACGGAUACAAGCAGCGAAAGUUCGGACGCGGAAACGAGUGGAGAUGAAGCGCACGCAUGUGAGCCAUCAGACGGAAACGCCGAUAUGGACGAGGAGCUGUAUCCAGGUUCGAAGAUCACCAGGGCAGAGAGCAUUUUGCUGAUUAUGGGCCACAGCCUCCGCCAUGACGCGUCGAAAGAAGCCACCGAGAGCUUGCUUCAGUUAUUGCGCGCUCAUCUGCCGGAAAAAACAGAGCUGCCUUGUUCAAAGUACAAAUUUUUUAGACAUUUCAGCUCUCCUGAGAGUGCAAAGAACA